GACGAACCGUGCGAACGUUGUUCGGAAUCACUGGGCUUAAAGGGCGCGUAGGCGGGCGACCAAGUCAGGGGUGAAAUCCCACGGCUCAACCGUGGAAGUGCCUUUGAUACUGGCCGCCUCGAGGGAGGUAGGGGCGUGCGGAACUUCCGGUGGAGCGGUGAAAUGCGUAGAUAUCGGAAGGAACGCCGGUGGCGAAAGCGGCGCGCUGGACCUCUUCUGACGCUGAGGCGCGAAAGCCAGGGGAGCAAACGGGAUUAGAAACCCCCGUAGUCC
rnacentral:rRNA from 1 species